rnacentral:rRNA from 1 species
UACGGAGGGUGCAAGCGUUAUCCGGAUUCACUGGGUUUAAAGGGUGCGUAGGAGGGCAGGUAAGUCAGUGGUGAAAUCUCCAAGCUUAACUUGGAACUGCCGUUGAUACUAUCUGUCUUGAAUGUUGUGGAGGUGAGCGGAAUAUGUCAUGUAGCGGUGAAAUGCUUAGAUAUGACAUAGAACACCAAUUGCGAAGGCAGCUCACUACACAAUUAUUGACUCUGAGGCACGAAAGCGUGGGGAUCAAACAGGA